rnacentral:rRNA from 1 species
AGGCCUAACACAUGCAAGUCGAACGGUAACAGGAAGCAGCUUGCUGCUUUGCUGACGAGUGGCGGACGGGUGAGUAAUGUCUGGGAAACUGCCUGAUGGAGGGGGAUAACUACUGGAAACGGUAGCUAAUACCGCAUAACGUCGCAAGACCAAAGAGGGGGACCUUCGGGCCUCUUGCCAUCGGAUGUGCCCAGAUGGGAUUAGCUAGUAGGUGGGGUAACGGCUCACCUAGGCGACGAUCCCUAGCUGGUCUGAGAGGAUGACCAGCCACACUGGAACUGAGACACGGUC